rnacentral:rRNA from 1 species
GUGGGGAAUAUUGGACAAUGGGCGCAAGCCUGAUCCAGCCAUGCCGCGUGAGUGAUGAAGGCCUUAGGGUUGUAAAGCUCUUUCAGUAGGGAAGAUAAUGACGGUACCUACAGAAGAAGCCCCGGCUAACUUCGUGCCAGCAGCCGCGGUAAUACGAAGGGGGCUAGCGUUGUUCGGAUUUACUGGGCGUAAAGCGCACGUAGGCGGAUUGGUCAGUUAGAGGUGAAAUCCCGAAGCUCAACUUCGGAACUGCCUUUAAUACUGCCAGUCUCGAGUCCGGAAGAGGUGAGUGGAACUCCUAGUGUAGAGGUGGAAUUCGUAGAUAUUAGGAAGAACACCAGUGGCGAAGGCGGCUCACUGGUCCGGUACUGGCGCUGAGGUGCGAAAGCGUGGGGAGCAAACAGGAUUAGAAACCCUAGUAGUCC